rnacentral:lncRNA from 10 species
UUUUAUUUUUAUAUUAUUUAUUUAUUCUUCCUUAGUUUCUUGAGAUUAUCAUCCGCUGAGGGUGGAAGGGGAGUGAGCAGACACACUCAGGAGGUGUCUUGAGAUUAUCAUCCGCUGAGGGUGGAAGGGGAUAGAGCAGGCACUCGGCAGGUGUCUUGAGAUUAUCAUCCGCUGAGGGUAGAGCUGAGGGUGGAAGGGGAGUGAGCAGACACUCGGGAGGUGUCUUGAGGCUCAGGGAGUUAUCAAUUAUAGAAUGUUGUUGAGUUGGAGGAGGUGGCUGGUGGCCCAUCCUGUUUUUUAAAGUUUCAGCUGUGAGGUA